rnacentral:rRNA from 1 species
GAUGAACGCUGGCGGUGUGCCUAAUACAUGCAAGUCGAGCGAACAGACGAGGAGCUUACUCCUCUGACGUUAGCGGCGGACGGGUGAGUAACACGUGGAUAACCUACCUAUAAGACUGGGAUAACUUCGGGAAACCGGAGCUAAUACCGGAUAACAUUUUGAACCGCAUGGUUCAACAGUGAAAGACGGUCUUGCUGUCACUUAUAGAUGGAUCCGCGUCGCAUUAGCUAGUUGGUAAGGUAACGGCUUACCAAGGCAACGAUGCGUAGCCGACCUGAGAGGGUGAUCGGCCACACUGGAACUGAGACACGGUCCAGACUCCUACGGGAGGCAGCAGUAGGGAAUCUUCCGCAAUGGGCGAAAGCCUGACGGAGCAACGCCGCGUGAGUGAAGAAGGUCUUCGGAUCGUAAAACUCUGUUAUUAGGGAAGAACAAAUGUGUAAGUAACUAUGCACGUCUUGACGGUACCUAAUCAGAAAGCCACGGCUAACUACGUG